rnacentral:rRNA from 1 species
UACGUAGGGGGCAAGCGUUAUCCGGAUUUACUGGGUGUAAAGGGAGCGCAGGCGGUAUGGCAAGUCAGAUGUGAAAACCCAGGGCCCAACCCUGGGACUGCAUUUGAAACUGUUAAGCUGGAGUGCGGGAGGGGCAGGCGGAAUUCCUGGUGUAGCGGUGAAAUGCGUAGAUAUCAGGAGGAACACCGGCGGCGAAGGCGGCCUGCUGGACCGUGACUGACGUUGAGGCUCGAAAGCGUGGGGAGCAAACAGG